CAGCCGCCGCGGUAAUACGAAGGGGGCUAGCGCUGUUCGGAAUUACUGGGCGUAAAGCGCACGUAGGCGGAUCGAUCAGUCAGGGGUGAAAUCCCGCAGCUCAACUGCGGAACUGCCUUUAAUACUGUCGGUCUAGAGUAUGGAAGAGGUGAGUGGAAUUCCGAGUGUAGAGGUGAAAUUCGUAGAUAUUCGCAAGAACACCAGUGGCGAAGGCGGCUCACUGGCCCGGUACUGACGCUGAGGCGCGAAAGCGUGUGGAGUAAACAGGAUUAGAUACCCCUGUAGUCCCUGUCUCUUAUAC
rnacentral:rRNA from 1 species